rnacentral:rRNA from 1 species
UACGAAGGGGGCUAGCGUUGCUCGGAAUUACUGGGCGUAAAGGGCGCGUAGGCGGCCACCGCAAGUCAAUUGUGAAAUCUCCGGGCUCAACCCGGAACGGUCAACUGAUACUGCGGGGCUAGAGUGCAGAAGGGGCAACUGGAAUUCUCGGUGUAGCGGUGAAAUGCGUAGAUAUCGAGAGGAACACCUGCGGCGAAGGCGGGUUGCUGGGCUGACACUGACGCUGACAGCGCGAAAGCUAGGGGAGCGAACGGG